UACGGAAGGGGGCAAGCGUUGUUCGGAAUCAUUGGGCGUAAAGGGCGCGUAGGUGGUUCUGUAUGUCUAUCGUGAAAGCAUACGGCUCAACUGUAUUUUGUCGAUAGAAACUGCAGGACUGAGGCUGGGAGGGGCUGGUGGAAUUCCCUGUGUAAGCGGUGAAAUGCGUAGAGUAUUGGGAGGAACACCGGUGGCGAAGG
rnacentral:rRNA from 1 species